CAAACUACGCGAGAGUAAGCUAAUCUCUUAAAGCCGUUCUCAGUUCGGACUGUAGGCUGCAACUCGCCUACACGAAGUCGGAAUCGCUAGUAAUCGCGGAUCAGCAUGCCGCGGUGAAUACGUUCCCGGGCCUUGUACACACCGCCCGUCACACCAUGGGAGUUGGAAAUGCCCGAAGUCAGUGGCCCAACCGUAAAGGAGGGAGCUGCCGAAGGCAGGUUCGAUGACUGGGGUGAAGUCGUAACAAGGUACC
rnacentral:rRNA from 1 species